rnacentral:rRNA from 1 species
AACGAACGCUGGCGGCAUGCCUAACACAUGCAAGUCGAACGAGACCUUCGGGUCUAGUGGCGCACGGGUGCGUAACGCGUGGGAACCUGCCCUUAGGUUCGGAAUAACUCCCCGAAAGGGGUGCUAAUACCGGAUAAUGUCUUCGGACCAAAGAUUUAUCGCCUUUGGAUGGGCCCGCGUUGGAUUAGCUAGUUGGUAGGGUAAAAGCCUACCAAGGCGACGAUACAUAGCUGGUCUGAGAGGAUGAGCAGCCACACUGGGACUGAGACACGGCCCAGACUCCUACGGGAGGCAGCAGUGGGGAAUAUUGGACAAUGGGCGAAAGCCUGAUCCAGCAAUGCCGCGUGAGUGAUGAAGGCCUUAGGGUUGUAAAGCUCUUUUACCCGGGAUGAUAAUGACAGUACCGGGAGAAUAAGCACCGGCUAACUCCGUG